AUUGAACGCUGGCGGCAGGCUUAACACAUGCAAGUCGAACGAGCGGCGGACGGGUGAGUAAUGUAUGGGGAUCUGCCCGAUAGAGGGGGAUAACUACUGGAAACGGUGGCUAAUACCGCAUACUAUCGGAUGAACCCAUAUGGGAUUAGGUAGUUGGUGAGGUAAAGGCUCACCAAGCCGACGAUCUCUAGCUGGUCUGAGAGGAUGACCAGCCACCCUGGGACCGAGACACGGCCCAGACUCCUACGGGAGGCAGCAGUGGGGAAUAUUGCGCAAUGGGGGCAACCCUGACGCAGCCAUGCCACGUGUGUGAAGAAGGCCUUCGGGUUGUAAAGCACUUUCAGCGAGGAGGCGUUACUCGCAGAAGAAGCACCGGCUAACUCCGUGCCAGCAGCCGCGGUAAUAC
rnacentral:rRNA from 1 species